GACGAACCGUGCAAACGUUGUUCGGAAUCACUGGGCUUAAAGGGCGCGUAGGCGGGCAAGCAAGUCGAAGGUGAAAUCCCACGGCUCAACCGUGGAAGUGCCCCCGAUACUGCUUGUCUUGAGGGAGAUAGGGGCGUGCGGAACUUCCGGUGGAGCGGUGAAAUGCGUAGAUAUCGGAAGGAACACCCGUGGCGAAGGCGGCUCUCUGGGACGGUACUGACGCUGAGACGCGAAAGCGUGGGGAGCGAACAGG
rnacentral:rRNA from 1 species